ACAUGCAAGUCGAGCGAAGCAAUUUAAGUGAAGUUUUCGGAUGGAUCUUAGAUUGACUGAGCGGCGGACGGGUGAGUAACGCGUGGAUAACCUGCCUCACACAGGGGGAUAACAGUUAGAAAUGACUGCUAAUACCGCAUAAGCGCACGGUACCGCAUGGUACAGUGUGAAAAACUCCGGUGGUGUGAGAUGGAUCCGCGUCUGAUUAGGUAGUUGGUGAGGUAACGGCCCACCAAGCCGACGAUCAGUAGCCGACCUGAGAGGGUGACCGGCCACAUUGGGACUGAGACACGGCCCAAACUCCUACGGGAGGCAGCAGUGGGGAAUAUUGCACAAUGGGCGAAAGCCUGAUGCAGCAACGCCGCGUGAGUGAAGAAGUAUCUCGGUAUGUAAAGCUCUAUCAGCAGGGAAGAAAAUGACGGUACCUGACUAAGAAGCCCCGGCUAACUACGUGCCAGCAGCCGCGGUAAUACGUAGGGGGCAAGCGUUAUCCGGAUUUACUGGGUGUAAAGGGAGCGCAGACGGCACUGCAAGUCUGAAGUGAAAGCCCGGGGCUCAACCCCGGGACUGCUUUGGAAACUGUAGAGCUAGAGUGCUGGAGAGGCAAGCGGAAUUCCUAGUGUAGCGGUGAAAUGCGUAGAUAUUAGGAAGAACACCAGUGGCGAAGGCGGCUUGCUGGACAGUAACUG
rnacentral:rRNA from 1 species